GACGUAGGGCGCGAGCGUUGUCCGGAAUUAUUGGGCGUAAAGAGCUCGUAGGCGGUCUGUCGCGUCGGCUGUGAAAACCCGGGGCUCAACCCCGGGCCUGCAGUCGAUACGGGCAGACUAGAGUGCGGUAGGGGAGACUGGAAUUCCUGGUGUAGCGGUGGAAUGCGUAGAGAUCGGGAGGAACACCGGUGGCGAAGGCGGCUCACUGGGCCGGUCCUGACGCUCAGGCGCGAAAGCGUGGGGAGCGAGUCCGG
rnacentral:rRNA from 1 species